AGAGUUUGAUCCUGGCUCAGAGUGAACGCUGGCGGCGUGCCUAAUACAUGCAAGUCGAACGGACAAGUAAGAGCUUGCUCUUAUGAGUUAGUGGCGCACGGGUGAGUAAUGUAUAGUUAAUCUGCCCUACACUGGAGGACAACAGUUAGAAAUGACUGCUAAUACUCCAUACUCCUUCUUAACACAAGUUAAGUCGGGAAAGUUUUUCGGUGUAGGAUGAGACUAUAUUGUAUCAGCUAGUUGGUAAGGUAAUGGCUUACCAAGGCUAUGACGCAUAACUGGUCUGAGAGGAUGAUCAGUCACACUGGAACUGAGACACGGUCCAGACUCCUACGGGAGGCAGCAGUAGGGAAUAUUGCUCAGUGGGGGGAAACCCUCCACGCAGCAACGCCGCGUGGAGGAUGACACUUUUCGGAGCGUAAACUCCUUUUGUUAGGGGAAGAACACUGACGGUACCUAACGAAUAAGCACCGGCUAACUCCGUGCCAGCAGCCGCGGUAAUACGGAGGGUGCAAGCGUUACUCGGAAUCACUGGGCGUAAAGGACGCGUAGGCGGAUUAUCAAGUCUCUUGUGAAAUCUAACGGCUUAACCAUUAAACUGCUUGGGAAACUGGUAAUCUAGAGUAAGGRRRAGGUAGAUGGAAUUCUUGGUGUAGGGGUAAAUCCGUAGAGAUCAAGAAGAAUACYCAUUGCGARGCCGAUCUACUGGAACUUAACUGACGCUAAUGCGUGAAAGCGUGGGGAGCAAACAGGAUWARWWACCCUGGUAGUCMMSGCCCUAAACGAUGKAUACUGGUUGUUGCUAUGCUAGUCAUGGCAGUAACCCACCUAACGGAUUAAGUAUACCGCCUGGGGAGUACGGUCGCAAGAUUAAAACUCAAAGGAAUAGACGGGGACCCGCACAAGCGGUGGAGCAUGUGGUUUAAUUCGAAGAUACGCGAAGAACCUUACCUAGGCUUGAUAUCCAACAAAUCUCUUAGAGAUAAGAGAGUGCUAGCUUGCUAGAAUGUUGAGACAGGUGCUGCACGGCUGUCGUCAGCUCGUGUCGUGAGAUGUUGGGUUAAGUCCCGCAACGAGCGCAGCCCACGUACUCUAGUUGCUAACGGUUCGGCCGAGCACUCUAAAUAGACUGCCUUCGUAAGGAGGAGGAAGGUGUGGACGACGUCAAGUCAUCAUGGCCCUUAUGCCUAGGGCGACACACGUGCUACAAUGGCAUAUACAAUGAGACGCAAUAUCGUGAGAUGGAGCAAAUCUAUAAAAUAUGUCCCAGUUCGGAUUGUUCUCUGCAACUCGAGAGCAUGAAGCCGGAAUCGCUAGUAAUCGUAGAUCAGCCAUGCUACGGUGAAUACGUUCCCGGGUCUUGUACUCACCGCCCGUCACACCAUGGGGGUUGAUUCACUCGAAGCCGGAAUGCUAAACUAGCUACCGUCCACAGUGGAAUCAGCGACUGGGGUGAAGUCGUAACAAGGUAACCGUA
rnacentral:rRNA from 1 species